AAAGGGUAGGAGAGCAGGACACAGCCAAAUGAUGUGAUGGCUUUUCCUGCCAGGCCAAAGAAGUGGCCUUUGAUAGGCAAAGGGCAUCCCUUGAGAGUUUUGUAGUAGGAGGGCAACAAAGCAAAUCAUCUGUCAAGGAUAUGAAUCCCAUUGAAUGGGGAUGAAAGUGGACUACUACCUCAUGGCAUGUUUUGAGGAUGAAAUGAGCUAAUAAACACAGUCUUCAGCCCUACAUUAGGUAA
rnacentral:lncRNA from 10 species